rnacentral:lncRNA from 1 species
UGUUUAAGGUUACAUCAUCAAAAUAAAUAUGAUAGGUAGGACUGUAUUUCCAUUUUAUUUUUUGCGCCAUGAUUUUGAGUUGUUCGGUCCGUCUUGCCGUGGUCUGAGUUGUCCAUGGGCCGAGUUUACCCGUAUUUUUAAUGAUUGGAUUAUUUCCCUUUGUUAUUGAUUGGCAAAAAAAUGGCGGCAAAAUGUUUAUUUCAUCACACCAGUCACGAAUUUCCUUAAAACAGCUAUCAUAUUCAUGAUUAUGAACAUUGGGAUGUAUCAGGCAACACUAUCUUCACUUAUAACACGAGUUCAGUUUAUUUUUCACUUUACGACGGAAAUAAAAUGGCUUAGGGUCUGUGCUCAAAAUAGGGUCGGUCGGGGUAACCUUAAACAGACAUAUAUUUUUUUUUGACCUCACAAACAAAUUAAAUCAAUUUGUUUAUAUGUGUAUAAAAUUAUGAAAGUACCGUAGGUAAUGGGUUUAUAACAUCAAUGGGCAAACCCAACAGCAAACCAAUCUAAUGAAAUGACAUGUAAAGGACAAUUUUUUAGUAGUUUUUGAACAUGUUGAAUAAAAAUUGUAGCCA